UACGUAGGGAGCAAGCGUUGUCCGGAAUCAUUGGGCGUAAAGCGCGCGUAGGCGGCCCCGUAAGUCCGCUGUGAAAGUCAAAGGCUCAACCUUUGAAAGCCGGUGGAUACUGUGGGGCUGGAGUCCGGAAGAGGCGAGUGGAAUUCCUGGUGUAGCGGUGGAAUGCGCAGAUAUCAGGAGGAACACCAAUAGCGAAGGCAGCGCGCUGGGACGGUACUGACACUAAGGCGCGAAAGCGUGGGGAGCAAACAGG
rnacentral:rRNA from 1 species